UUUUCAGAAACGGUUCAAAUGAAUGCGGAAAAUGUUGUCUAUAGAGCUUGCACUUUUAAAAAAUUCUUCCGGGAGAAUUUCAAAAUGUUUCCUCAGAACAAUUUUAAAACAAUGUCCCCGAACUUUUUCAUUCUCGGGUGACGUAUUAUUAAUAAUAUUCUUUACGCCAAUAACGGAAAAUACAAUGAAGAAUGUUUUUUUCAUAGCGUGUGGGCAUCGAACAUAUUAUUUUACAAAAGUAAUAUCACGAACCGAAACGACGACAUUAUCGAUCGUCUGUAUAAUACGUAUGUUAAGUUCAUAACCUAAGUCCCUAUUUAUAUUAUACGUUUAUAACAUGUAACAUGUCCGUUCACGUUGUUGUCGAAGACGGUCCUAAAACGUUUUUUAUUGUGUUUAAUUGACGGAGGGGAAGAGAAAAAACGAGCGUACAGUCAUCACGGACAUCACUCGUACCGCAAGCCAGAUGCCGAAUUUCCUCAUUCUACGGUGAAAACACUUGACCACGUAACGGCCGCGGCGGUGUUCGAGUGCCCUCGGUAAAUUAAUACCGCAGCGUAAAAAUACACCGUCCCCGGAAAUUAUUAUACGGAACUUUACACUGUUCGCGGGUCAACACACCGCGAUCACAAACUCUUACAAGUCGUAAAAACAAAUCGAAAAAAAAAUAUAUUCUAGACUGCAGUGUGUAUAUUUUAUACGGGCGUAGGUAUUUAUUUUUAUGGUUUCGCCGGGUCGUGUCGCAGUAUAGUGAGAAAAUAACGCGAUUACUAGGUAGGCAGGUACAUUUUACCCGCGUUAUGAUAUUAUUUUCAAAACGGAAUACGAGCGUAAAAACGCACGCGGUUAAGAAGUACGGACAAGUAUAAUAAUAAUUCGCGGGAGAGAUUCGCGAAGCCACUGUAAUGUUAUAAUAAUACGCCCAUUUUAUGUCCCCGGAGAGUGAACUUCGGAAGAUUAAACUCGUUUAACGCGUGGUAUAGGUAAAUUUUGUGCUGCAGGCAAUAAUAAAAAAAUAUACAAUAAAGUAUAAUAGUUCUUUUGAAACGACGUGGAAAACGUUCAUAGAAACCAAAAGCCACAACCGGCCGCGGCUGGCGUUCGAAAAAUAUGCAAAAAAUUACACCUACUGUACAGGGCGUUAUAAAUUACAUGUUACUGCAGUUAUGAUACAGUCAGUAUACUGGGCAUUCUUUCCGUACUCUCAAAACUCGCAUAAAAUAUCGUAUGCAUAAUAUUUUGUCCAUCAGCGACACGUCCAAUUGCAGUUCUUCUUCGACGAUUUGUUUCGUCGUAUAUAAUUGCGGUAUACAUUUACUUACCGAUAAUUUAUAUUAUUUAGUCACCGAUUGCCAUACGACUCUGUGAGCACUCGGUCGAUGACAAAAAACAAAAAAAAAAAAAAAUCGUAAACAAAAUGAGUCGUUUCAGUCAUAAUAGCCAAUACGGUAAACAUUACUCAACGCUACGUUUUUGUUCUUAUUCAGUGUAUUUAUAUAUAAUGCACGUAUAUAUAUAUAUAUAUUGUAAUAAGAUCGAUCGUUUGGUAUUUUGUUUGCUGUUCGGUUAUUCGUUCGUCGUUUAUAAGGUAUAAAAUGUAAUAAAAUACGUAUUGAUAAUCUCGCGCAUUACGUGCCUGUAAUAUGUACAAUAAAUUAUUUUUAUAUUAUAAUAAGUA